rnacentral:misc_RNA from 1 species
GAUGAAGAACGUAGCGAAAUGCGAUAAGUAAUGCGAAUUGCAGAAUUCAGUGAAUCAUCGAAUCUUUGAACGCACAUUGCGCCCGCUAGUAUUCUGGCGGGCAUGCCUGUCUGAGCGUCAUUUCAACCCUCGCCCCCGGCUUUUGCUGGGAGCGGUGUUGGGGAUCGGCCGCCCGUCACUGGGAGGCCGGCCCCGAAAUAGAGUGGCGACCACGCCGUGUGCUCCUCUGCGUAGUAGUAAAUCACCUCGCAGGCGGACAGCGGUGCGGCCUGCCGUAAAACCCCCAACUCUUUCUGGUUGACCUCAGAUCAGGUAGGAAUACCCGCUGAACUUAAGCAUAUCAAUAAGCGGAGGG